rnacentral:rRNA from 1 species
GACGAACGCUGGCGGCGUGCUUAACACAUGCAAGUCGAACGGACAGGCCCUGCUUUUGUGGGGUGCUCGAGUGGCGAACGGGUGAGUAACACGUGAGUAACCUGCCCUUGACUUUGGGAUAACUUCAGGAAACUGGGGCUAAUACCGGAUAGGAGCUCCUGCUGCAUGGUGGGGGUUGGAAAGUUUCGGCGGUUGGGGAUGGACUCGCGGCUUAUCAGCUUGUUGGUGGGGUAGUGGCUUACCAAGGCUUUGACGGGUAGCCGGCCUGAGAGGGUGACCGGCGACAUUGGGACUGAGAUAGGGCGCAGACUCCUACGGGAGGCAGCAGUGGGGAAUAUUGCACAAUGGGCGGAAGCCUGAUGCAGCAACGCCGCGUGCGGGAUGAUGGCCUUCGGGUUGUAAACCGCUUUCGCCGGUGACGAAGCGUGAGUGACGGUAAUGGGUAAAGAAGCACCGGCUAACUACGUG